ensembl:rRNA 5S_rRNA 5S ribosomal RNA
UCUACUGGCCAUACUACUCUGAACACACUCAAUCCCAUCUGAUCUCUGAAGGAUAGGAGAGGAAGUGGAGAGUUGAAUGGAAUAUAAAAAAGUGGAAGACACCAAGUGUAGAC